CCGCAAUGGGCGAAAGCCUGACGGAGCAACGCCGCGUGAGGGAUGAAGGCCUCUGGGCUGUAAACCUCUUUUAUCAAGGAAGAAGAUCUGACGGUACUUGAUGAAUAAGCCACGGCUAAUUCCGUGCCAGCAGCCGCGGUAAUACGGGAGUGGCAAGCGUUAUCCGGAAUUAUUGGGCGUAAAGCGUCCGCAGGCGGCCCUACAAGUCUGCUGUUAAAAAGUGGAGCUUAACUCCAUCAUGGCAGUGGAAACUGUUGGGCUCGAGUGUGGUAGGGGCAGAGGGAAUUCCCGGUGUAGCGGUGAAAUGCGUAGAUAUCGGGAAGAACACCAGUGGCGAAGGCGCUCUGCUGGGCCAUCACUGACGCUCAUGGACGAAAGCCAGGGGAGCGAAAGGGAUUAGAUACCCCUGUAGUCCUGGCCGUAAACGAUGAACACUAGGUGUCGGGGGAAUCGACCCCUCCGGUGUCGUAGCCAACGCGUUAAGUUUC
rnacentral:rRNA from 1 species